rnacentral:rRNA from 1 species
UACGAAGGGGGCUAGCGUUGUUCGGAAUUACUGGGCGUAAAGCGCGUGUAGGCGGGGCCUUAAGUCAGGGGUGAAAUGCCAAGGCUCAACCUUGGAACUGCCUUUGAUACUGGAGACCUUGAGUCCGGGAGAGGUGAGUGGAAUUGCGAGUGUAGAGGUGAAAUUCGUAGAUAUUCGCAAGAACACCAGUGGCGAAGGCGGCUCACUGGCCCGGUACUGACGCUGAGGUGCGAAAGCGUGGGGAGCAAACAGG